rnacentral:rRNA from 1 species
GUAAGGAAUAUUGGUCAAUGGAGGCAACUCUGAACCAGCCAUGCCGCGUGCAGGAAGACGGCCCUCUAGGUUGUAAACUGCUUUUAUCCGGGAAUAAACCUGCCUUCGUGAAGGUAGCUGAAUGUACCGGAAGAAUAAGGAUCGGCUAACUCCGUGCCAGCAGCCGCGGUAAUACGGAGGAUCCAAGCGUUAUCCGGAUUUAUUGGGUUUAAAGGGUGCGUAGGCGGCCUGUUAAGUCAGGGGUGAAAGACGGUGGCUCAACCAUCGCAGUGCCCUUGAUACUGAUGGGCUUGAAUGGACUAGAGGUAGGCGGAAUGUGACAAGUAGCGGUGAAAUGCAUAGAUAUGUCACAGAACACCGAUUGCGAAGGCAGCUUACUAUGGUCCUAUUGACGCUGAGGCACGAAAGCGUGGGGAUCGAACAGGAUUAGAUACCCUGGUAGUCC